rnacentral:rRNA from 1 species
AGUGAUAAACUGGAGGAAGGUGGGGAUGACGUCAAGUCAUCAUGGCCCUUACGAGUAGGGCUACACACGUGCUACAAUGGCAUAUACAAAGAGAAGCGACCUCGCGAGAGCAAGCGGACCUCAUAAAGUAUGUCGUAGUCCGGAUUGGAGUCUGCAACUCGACUCCAUGAAGUCGGAAUCGCUAGUAAUCGUGGAUCAGAAUGCCACGGUGAAUACGUUCCCGGGCCUUGUACACACCGCCCGUCACACCAUGGGAGUGGGUUGCAAAAGAAGUAGGUAGCUUAACCUUCGGGAGGGCGCUUACCACUUUGUGAUUCAUGACUGGGGUGAAGUCGUAACAAGGUAACCGUAGGGGAACCUGCGGUUGGAUCACCUCCUU